CGCGUCCCACCAGCCUACGAAAACCCCCACCCCCACCCCCACCCCCACUCAUCACCUCAUUCCCCGCUCCACUCCACUCCACUCCGCUCCUCCCCACUCGAGCCGAGCGCCACCGCAGCAGCCAUGGCACGCACCGCAGCCCGCGCCGCCGCCGCCGUGGCGUGCCUCCUCCUCGCGCUCGCCUCCUCCGCCGCGGGGAAGGGCUCGCACUCCCCUGCCCCGGCGCCGGCGGUGGACUGCAUCGCGGCCGCCGCGGGCCUGGCCGACUGCCUCAACUACGUCUCCCCGGGGAGCACGGAGAAGAGCCCGUCCAAGACCUGCUGCGGGGAGGUCAAGACCGCCGUGGCCAACCCCGCCGUCGUCGACUGCCUCUGCUCCCUCGCGGGCAACAAGGGCUUUCCCAUCGACAUGAAACGCGUGCUCGCGCUCCCCGGCGCCUGCGGCUCGUCCAACACCGUCUUCAGCAAGUGCCACAUUUCCGCGGGUCCUCCUGCCGAAGCACCUGGAGCGUCUACCGGGGGAUCACCGAGCGGCGGAGCGACCGCGUCCCCGCCGAAAGCCGCGGCGAGCUCUCGGAUGACGGCAACCGCCCUCGUGGCCGCCGUGGUGGCACCGCUGCUCGCCUACUGCUACCUGCUCUGAGCUGAGGGAUACCUUCCGCGCAUGCUGCGCCGUCCUGGCUGAGUGAGAGUGACCGUCCUUUUAUUGCGAUUAUCCCGUCUUGCUGCGCGCCGUGAUUCAGUUACCUCUGUUGUUGAGAUGUACUGCUACUUGAGCUGUUUUAUGGAGUAUUCGACUGACUUCCCGUGCUUCCAUCAAUGCUGCCUAGCACCGGUAGAAUUCGGUUUUCCGGCUCGUGAAGUCGUGCCGACUGACGGAUAGGUGCGUAGUGUGAUAGCUGAUAAGUGGUAUAUAGGAACAGAAUAAGAGAAUCCGUUUAAUCUUGUCGGUUCCAGAAACACUUGGAACAAGUAAAGAUGUGUUGGUUACACAACCUUAAGCUGCUAAAACUGGAUCCAGAAAGACACAACAUUACAGGUAGAACGUCGCCCACGGACUCGCUGUGUUCUCUGCUGAACAAGUUACAGUGACGAGAGGCCUGCAUCUGUGAGGUGGUUGUGUUGCUGCGAUGAGCAGGCAAGGGGUUAUUCAUUGCGGUUGCGGUUGCGGUUGCGGUUUGCACAGCAAGAUCCCCCUGGAUGAUCAGAGGUGAAGGGCGAGCGAUUUCGAUUGUACCAGGCCGAAACUUGUGUUGAGAAGGAUCGACGCGGACGACACGCCUUCUUUAUAGCCCCAGCCACGACAGCUCCUGCUCGUCUGUUUGACAAUCGCUCCAUCCCCUCUGCCGGUCAUCCCGGCAUGCUCUUGUGGCGGGCGCAAGCCGGACACUGCCUUGCAGGCGCGGGCUUGCGGCGCCCACGCGCCAGGGGCACCCAAGCGAGCGCGCGAGCAGAGUGCAAAACAGCGAGGCCUCUUCGCCUGGGCGAUCGAUCGGUAACCCAUGGGUGCGCUGGGAUAACCGGCAGCCAGGCGCUGUUCGCGGUGGCGGGCGUGGGUCCGUCGCCGCGCACAACACACAUGCUCGAUGAAAUACCGCAACAGAACACGCAACUCUGGGUCCCACAUUGCCACAAAAUAUACAAAGACAAAAGGGCAUUCGGCGUUCACUAAGACGAAGAAGGCCUUUGGCGUCGAGGCUUGCUCGAAAGUUGACCCGGCAUUUGCAUCUCUUCUUCCUUCAAUCCUUUCCAUUAAUCCUCUGUAGGCUACGCUAUCCAUGUUCCAACCAUCACGAUGCGAGUACUAAAUAUUGGUGGGAAAUGAUUCAUUUUUGGCAUCUGCAAAUCCAUCCCUGACAGAGAUUCUCACCCUUGGUUGUCUAGUUCUUGGUGGUGUGAUGCAGCUUAUUCCCAUUUGCUUCCUUUUCAUGGUCUGAAUCAUAAAAAUUUGGAUUCUUUCUUGUCAUAGGUAAAGUAUUUCAAUGAUUACCUAAUCAACAUGAGAAAUUGACGGUGCUUCCAUGUAUUAAUGUUAUUUCCUCAGACAUCUGUUUAGUUAUUUGUUCAUCUUUGUAUCAACAAUUCUAGCAAUAAAAUUAAACAAAAUAACCUGUAUCAUCCCUAGUUCUUUUUUUACAUUAUUCCCCUAGAUGGAAACCAUAAUUAAAAUCUGAGCAAAAUGAAAAAACAAAGUACAAAAGAGCUCCACACCAUCCAAAAUGUGUUGGAACUUGGAAACACUCCUUUAAAUCACACAAAUCACUGUAACUUUUAGAGAACUGGCUUUACAGCUUUUAAUCCAUCACAAACUAAGACAAACAGACCUUUUGGUUUAUGAUGUUGGCGCUACUACUCUUCUCUUCCUUCACAUAUUUUAGAGAGUAAUUCUAUACUUAACUGCUGUUUCAAUCUUCAAUGUAAACCUUUUACAAAGAAACCUUUUUAAUCUAGUUUAUCACUAUCAUAACUAACAUCCAAUCCAGUUUCAAUAAAACACAAUUUUAUCACUGAUACCCCACUAUUGUCCAAGGGAUUAGACAAGCAAUGCCAUAUUGCCAUAACUAUGAAAUAUUACAAGACAUAAAACAGAUAGAGGAGAUGAUAAAUAAGAUAUGGCCAAAUCAUUUCUAAAGGAAAAUCAGCUGUGUUCAUUACGCUAGUUACUAGAUAUUUCCUUGUUUCUUGGAGUUGCCAUGGCACUGGUAAAAUCUGGGUUACAUUAAAACUGAAUGCAAUGCUCUGGAACUACUUAUAGGUCAGUGUGUCCCCCGCAUUUAGUCUUUUUUCUUGAAGAAAAAUAUCAGGAGAGCUUUGAUUCAUUCAUUGAAGAUGGAGGAUUAAAACUGCAUAUUACGGAUUGGUUAUUGUUGAGUUCUCUGGGAGAAAUCUGAACAAAAACACGGCAAUUCCAUUUGUAUAGCGAUAACAAAGUUUAUAGUCAAAGGAUGAAUCUUCUCGGAAAUAAAGUGAUGGAACUGAUGCAAGGGACCGAUAGAUCAAAGUGGAUAGUGCAUAGUAAUCAUAACAUAAAAUGCUUCGGUAAAGGCGAUAUAGAACAAAUUACGAACAACUACAGAUAUAUUCUUGGGAGUGGUGGCUUUGGGGAAGUUUAUGAAGGAGUUCUUGAAGACAAAAGUAUGGUUGCAGUGAAGAAGUUUAUCCACAAUGUGAAAGAGAACUUUGCUAAAGAGUUGACCAUCCACUGUGAAAUCAACCAUAGGAACGUAGUUAGGCUCAUUGGUUAUUGUAUAGACGAAAAUGCCCUAACUAUGGUCACCGAGUAUGUCCCUAAUGGAAACCUGAGUGAUGUUCUUCAUCAUGAAAAUGCUCCCAUACCUUUGGAUAUACGACUUAGGAUUGCAACAGAGUGUGCAGAGGCAUUGGCAUACAUGCACUCUCACAUGUAUACUCAAGUCAUUCAUGGUGAUAUUAAACCUGCUAAUAUACUGUUAGACGGCAACUUUAAUGCAAAGUUAUCAGACUUUGGAAUAUCAAGGCUAGUCACCACGGACAAGACACUAUAUACUGAGAAUGUAAAAGGGAGCAUAGGUUACAUGGACCCUUUGUUUGCAAGGGAUGGGCGUCUCACUGUGAAGAGUGAUGUUUACAGUUUUGGAGUUGUGCUCUUGGAACUGAUCACUAGGAAAAAGGCCACAACAGGAGAUGUCAGCAUUGUUUCUGUAUUUACUGAAGAUGUUGCAAGGGGGGUCAGAGAAUUGAGAGAGAUGAUUGACCCUGAAAUCGCAAAUCAGAAUAACAUGAUUAUUCUUGAAGAGGUUGCAAAGCUAGCAAUUGAAUGCCUGAGAAUGGAAAGGGACAGACGUCCUGAAAUGAUUGAUGUGGCAGAAAACCUUCGAAUGCUACAGAAAGCUUCACAUCAGGGACAAGAACCAGUAUAUUUGUUUUCUUGGACAGGGAAAUGCUUGCGAGCACCUCCAGCUGUAGUGAGUAUGGCUACGAACAUUUUGCCAUCAGACCUAUGCCGCCAUUUCUCAUUUGAAGAGAUAAAGGCUGCAACAAACAACUUUGACGAAUCUCUCCUUGUUGGUGAGGGUGCAUUUGGCAGGGUUUACCAUGGAAAAAUUGAUGGAGGAGCAACUGAGGUUGCUAUCAAACACCGACAGCCGUGGUCCAAGUACCGUGCACCUGAGUUUUAUGCUGAGAUAGAGGUUAUGUCAAAGCUCUGCCACCACCAUCUUGUGCCACUAAUUGGUCACUGCAAUGAGAAGGACGAGUUGAUCCUUGUCUAUGAAUACAUGGCUCGUGGAAGUUUGCGUAAGCACCUCUACAUGACCCAGGAGCCACCACUUACCUGGAAGCAGCGUCUGGAGAUCUGCAUUGGUGCAGCUCGGGGCUUGCAGCACCUUCAUCUGCUACAGAUCAUUCACCGCAACAUUAACACGUCUGAUAUUCUGCUGGAUGAGGAUUGGAUUGCCAAGAUUACAGGUAUUGGUCUUUCCACGACUGAGCCAUCAACUGGUGAGACCACAACCUUCAAGAGCAGUGGUGGUCUUAUUGAUCCUGAAUAUUUCCGCACUUUUCAGCUGACCGAGAAAUCGGAUGUCUAUUCUUUUGGUGCUGUAUUGUUUGAGGUCCUCUGUGCCGGACCAGUUAUGAACUGCAUUUUUCCAAUACGAGUAGGUAACGUGGUAGAUUGGGCACUGCAGUGCAAGCAGGAGGGUAACAUUGAUCAAAUUGUUAGCCCAUAUAUAAAAGGAAGAAUUAAUGCACAGUGUUUCCACAAGUUCAUUGAAACUGCUGAGAAAUGUGUUGCUGAUCGGGGUAUUGAUCGUCCAUCAAUGGAAGAUGUGCUUUUGGACCUCGAGUGUGCCCUUGAGUUGCAGGUGAGUGCAGAAGUAAACACAAGCUAAUUCAACUUGGCUGAUGUGAUGGAUGCAUGGAUGAGGAAGUUGUCAUCACUCAUCAGUAUGGAUGGAUUCUGCUAAGAACCUGAAGUUGCUAAAGUGGUUUUCGUGGAAUGCAUCUGAAGUUCAUCAGGAAUUCAAGAAGGACGUUGAAGCUACUCCUUUCUUUGGAAGGUGUCCUAAAGAAACUAACAUCUUCGUAAUACCAGGCAAGCCUCGGAGCAUCUACACCUAUCUAAUUUUAGAAAACAUCUUCAUAAUCCCAGGCAAGCCUCGGAGCAUCUAUACCUAUCUAAUUUUAGAAAGUAUUAUUCAUGAGUCCAUUUAUUGGUUAUUUUUUUAUGAUUGCAUUAAGACUAGGAGUUGAUUGCAAACCAGUCUUGUGCAUGAUCCUACCUUGUUUAGAGGACAUCUUUGCCACUGUUCAACUAAUUAGUAACUAUCCUAUGCUUACCAAUACUUAUAUACCUGUGAGUAACUUUGGUUAUGCUUACCAAUGCUUAGAUACCUAUGCUUACUAAUGCUUAGAUACAUGUGAGUAACUUUGGUUACUCAACUCUAAGGUUAAAUUGGUCAUACAUUUUAAUCAAGUAAAAUAGCCUAAAAAUUGGAAAUGUGGACAGAAACUAGAGAUGUAGUUCUGUCUGCUAAGUGAAAUUGGUUACGGCUCGUUCAUUGUCUUAACCUUUGAUCAAGUGAUUUUACCUAAUUGCUUACUGUGUAUGGGACCAGCAAAGCCCGGUAGGUUAGUUGGUUCUCUGAUCGGGAAUAUUUCGUACAUGUGCUUGACUUGCUGGAGAAUGGCAGGGACGUGGGGUCCCCUGUGGGGGUGCGUCUCUGGGUUCGGUUAGUCAUAUUUUCAAUCGUUGGGUACGGCUAAUUGAAAUGUCGUUAUGUGCAACCCGGACAGUUGUACAUAGCUGCCCGAACAGUUGUACAUAGCUGGUGGUCGGGUAUCUCCUGCAGGAUGUAAAUCGGUCCGGAUCGCCGCAAUUCUCUGAAUGCACUUGAUCAUCACUUAAGCAUCGUAGUGUAAUCAAGUUGAAUGAAAUAUUUUUCCUAAAAUUAAGAUGUUGUAUGAUUUAGUUCCACUUGGUUGCUAAAAAUGUUUUCAUUCAACUAUACUAGACUGGUUAGGUAAAAACUAAACGGAAAGGUAAAAACUAAACGGAAAUAAAACCAUAAAAGUUAAGGUUAAGUUUUUUCGCAAAAUAUGAGUCAGCCAGUACACCAAAAAGUUGUCAUUCAGUUUUGAAAAGCUAUCUAUAUUGGUUAGUCGGGUCACUCUUGCUGAGUACCCUCGCACUUAGGGGAUCCUUGGUGUUGUUUUCAGAAGCGCAGCAGGAAGCAGCCGAGGAAGAAGUCCCGAAGAACUGGGGUAUUUUUAUGAGUCUCGCGAUACCCUAGUAAAAAAACUUAGUUGUUAACUACCUUAUCUCCCAGAUUUAUUUAAGUUUGAAAUUCUUGGAGUGGUUUAACUUGCAUCCUAAGUUUAUUUAAGUUUGAAAUUCUUGGAGUGGUUUAACUUGCAUCCUAAGUUUAUUUCAAUAUAUGGUUUGUAAUAACUCGUAUCUUCAGUAUUUAUGUAAAAUGUAAUAUUUGUUGAUGCUUUCCUAAUGUGAAAGCGAUGCUGAUGUAUGGUUAAAAUUCAAGUCGUGGAUG